rnacentral:rRNA from 1 species
AUUGAACGCUGGCGGCAUGCUUUACACAUGCAAGUCGAACGGCAGCGCGGGCUUCGGCCUGGCGGCGAGUGGCGAACGGGUGAGUAAUACAUCGGAACGUGCCCAGUAGUGGGGGAUAGCUCGGCGAAAGCCGGAUUAAUACCGCAUACGACCUGAGGGGGAAAGCGGGGGAGCUUCGGACCUCGCGCUAUUGGAGCGGCCGAUGGCAGAUUAGCUAGUUGGUGGGGUAAAGGCCUACCAAGGCGACGAUCUGUAGCUGGUCUGAGAGGACGACCAGCCACACUGGGACUGAGACACGGCCCAGACUCCUACGGGAGGCAGCAGUGGGGAAUUUUGGACAAUGGGCGAAAGCCUGAUCCAGCAAUGCCGCGUGUGUGAUGAAGGCCUUCGGGUUGUAAAGCACUUUUGGCGGGAACGAAAAGGACUGUGCCAAUACCACGGUUCGAUGACGGUACCCGCAGAAUAAGCACCGGCUAACUACGUG